rnacentral:rRNA from 1 species
AUGAUGGGAAUAACUAAGCAUAAAUUUGGAAAUGAGCACGAAAUGUCUAUAAAUGAAUUUUCUCAUUAUUCGUUAUUUCCGGGUCUUUUCGUUGCAUUCACUUACAACAAGAAACAACCACCAGCGUUUGGUGCAGCACUUGCAUUUUGGUGCAUUCUUCUUCCUUUCCUUGGUCUUUCGUUCCGUCAUAUUCCAAAUAACUUAUCUAAUUACAACGUAUUAACCGCUACAGCACCUUUUUUUUAUCAAAUCUCAGGGACAUGGUCUAAUCAUGAGGGUAGUAUUUUAUCAUGGUGUUGGAUCCCCAGUUUUUAUGGAUUCCUUUUUUGUUACCGGGGUCGACCCCAAAGCCAUAAUGUCUCAAAACGAAGAGGCUAUAGAGAAACUUUGAUUUUUUCCUUUGUCUCGAACUUCAUGAAGAACUCCAUUCUAUCUCUCCAACAAAAAAGUUGGGCUGCGCCCCAGUUGUACACUCCCUUCGCUCGGAGAACCCUUGUUGAUUCUGAACUUCGUUCGCAAAGUAAGCAUCCUUUUAACGGGCCAGCCCUUUUUAAUGCGCCGCUUGACCCUGUUUUGAAAAUGAGCUUUGCUCUUCUGGGCGCUGGGCGCUCCCGUGGUUCGCGAGAAGGAAAAAGGACUAAUCUUUUGUUACAUCUGGCACGAGAUGAAAAAGAGAGAGCUUCGUAUAUCAAUGAACAGCAGAUUGACGGAGCUCUUGGCAUUGCUUUGUUUUUCUCUCCUUUCCUAUCAGCGAGUUCCGAUCCUUUUGUUCAAAAUUUCUUCGUUCGUACCGAACCCCUUGCAGAAUCAAAUCCAGUUCCACAAGAUCCUAUAUCAGCUAUACAUCCUCCUUGCAUUUAUGCCGGAGAUGUCGCCAGUGCUAUGGGCUUCGGGUUAUGUAGAUCAAAAAUGAUGAAUGGGAUUGUGGCACUCCACUCGCCGCCAAUGCGGAAGGAUGCCGCGGAAAAGAAUGGAACGCGGCUUCGCUCUUCUGGAUGCGUCGGAUCCCAUAUAAGAAGCUCGCUCUUUACCCGAUCAUUCAAACAUUUUGUGGGCGGCGCGCCUGCUCUAUUGUUGCGUAGCAAUAGAAGCCUGCUCAUGCAGCUUCGGCGGCGCUUUUUCGCCUUCUCUUCGCUCUGGACAGGAGCGCUAAUGGACACGAGGAGGGAGCAGGCGAAGCGUGUCGUUCGUAAUGGAAAGUAA